GGCUUAAUUUGACUCAACGCGGAAAAGCUUAUCUGGUCCGGACGCAGUGAGGAUUGACAGACAGUUUCAGGAGUGGUUCUUGGUAAACAAUUGAGAGAGUUGAAGUUCUUUCAUGAUCUUGUGAGAGGUGGUGCAUGGCCGUUCUUAGUUCGUGUAGUGAUAUGUCUGCCUAAUCGCGUCACGAUAACCUAUUGGUCGACAACCCAAUUAUCACAACUGCAGCAUAACUCCCCUUGGGUGGGCGAGGCUCUGUGUAGGAUAGACCUCUGAACAGUACGCAACGAACGCGAUCGUAAUCCCUUGUUGAGUGGCCAUCCUGUAAGCUGCUGGAUUAGGAACCCAGUGGUAUUAUCUCAGCCACAGAUUUUCUGGUUGUAAUGGGCCAGUUUUGAAACUCGGGGAACAUCUGUGACUUUCUUUCUUAACGCAGAGGAAGGUUAUGGCAAUAACAGG
rnacentral:rRNA from 1 species